rfam:Felis catus isolate Cinnamon breed Abyssinian chromosome B4, whole genome shotgun sequence.
GCCUGGGUGGCUCAGUCGGUUAAGCGUCUGACUUUGGCUCAGGUCACGAUCUCGCUGUCCGUGAGUUCGAGCCCCACGUCAGGCU